rnacentral:misc_RNA from 1 species
GGCUGGUAUUGUUGGGAAGUAUGGUAUGUCCUAAGCUCUUUUUUUCAUUUUAGUUAUUACAUUUGUUAAGCAGUUGAAGAUAAGAAAACCCACACACUUAACGACAAAAAAUUUUGCAUAUGCCCAUUACUCGAUGCUAGAACUGUUGUGUUCCCUUGCCUGACUAUGAUGUCAAGGCAUGCUUAACUCUCACUUGCGAUAUUGCCUGGUUUGGAAAACCACCGUGGCAUGUCCACUCUAAACGAUGUGUAAUGCUACUCUACUACCUUCUUUUCUUUCUAUUCUCUAGCUCAACGUGCUCCGCUUGUCCACUCUAGCCUUCAUAUGUCUAUUUUUCACACGAACAAACUGCCUCAAUCUCCCUUCUCUUAACUUAUACUCAAUUGGCCGUAUCACGAGGUGUAAUGAAAUUUUACUUUAGUUGUCACCUACAACAACACUCCUCGUUGACCAGCUAAGCACAAAGCGGAGUUACCACCUGGCUGCAAACGUUAGAAGAAAUUGGAACUUUUAUGUGUUGUGUGGAUUAAUAAUAUCCUUGCCCUAUUAGAUUUUAUACUGACCAUUUAGUUAUUUGACAAUCUGAUCAAUUGCGCAUUGGCAUAGACCCUUGUAUCUGAAAGGCGUUACGAAGCCACACAUUUUUAGUUGAGGAAAGAAAAUUACUUAAAAUCUUCUCAACUAUUUGAGACAACCGAGAUCAUUUGAUUGUUACGUGUUAUUUAUUGCCUCCUGGUUUGACUUAUGAAUGGAUUACUUGUCUUCUAUGCCCCUUACUUUUGUAUCUAGCAUUUUUGGAUUCUGUGCAUGUCUUGUGAUUUGUGAGUUCAUAUAUAAUAUUUGCACAUGUUGGCAUUUGACCUUGUCGGUUAGAAAGGUGGCACUUACUGUGUAUUUGCAUUGUAGGCACCCGAUAUGGUGCUAGUCUGCGGAAGCAG